rnacentral:lncRNA from 1 species
AAACUAGCAUUCAUUUAAAAUAUGAAUGAAGUUGGAAAAACUUGCCUUACGCACAGCUACAACUUAUAGUUUACGUUGAACUGCUCAUUCCAAUUCCUAUGUAGCACAUAAGGAAAUAACACAUACACCAAUUAGUCAUAUACUUGAUUUUACGCAUUGGUUUACGUAACUUCACUUCUUAAGGUUCAUGUUCUUAUAAACUAAGUUUACGCAACCAACUUCCUUUACCGGUUAACGGCUUCAUGACAUACGGAGAUCUCUUACUUAAUACGUUCAUCAUCUUUGAUGAUUUACAUUCUUAUCUUCUUCUUAUAACUCUCCUAGGACUUAGCACACAUCGUGUCUCUGCUAGUAGUCCAUAUGGUACUCUGAGUGGUUUCCCACAAACAACCAACAAACAAGUUCCCUUCUCAUCUACACUACCCAUAACAGUGAGUUAGAUCGGUUGCCAGUUUUGUAUAUACCUUCGCUCUUUGAAGGAAUUGUUUAGCCUAGCUCCCAUAUGUCAACCAUCAAAGGUUACGAUUGUACUAGAACCUAAAUUCAUCUUAACUUACCCGAACUAUUAAACUAUAAUGUUCGUUAAGUCAAUUUCUUAUUCCUUAUGGCUUUCUGACAAAUAAAUGUCAUACCUCAUGAUUUAUUCUUUAUCGUCCAAGUCAUACAGUCUAUUGUAUACUCAGAACGAUCAUUCAAUAUUUAUUCUACGCAUUUAUAGCGUUAACCAUUUUACGUUACCUUAUUCUUAUCUUACAACGUCCGGUUCAUUCGACUCGGAACGUCUUCCAAGUUAUAAACAUUAAGUCGGCUUCUUUUAUGUUAUACAUACUUGUCUUUAAUUCAGCUUCUUCACCGUUCACAGGUUUAAUCAUUGAUCUUUAUUACCUUACGGUCAAACCAUACACGGGGUGUAGGUUCUACCCGUUUAGUAUUCGUGUACACUUAACCUUUAACUCGGUUCAAGUGUUCAACGCUUACAUUUCAUUCUAACAUUCUCAUUCGACUCACAUUCGGUUUUCAUUAAUCUUAUUACCGUUCGCUACGGCUUUCUUGAUAAUUCAUAUCUUAUUUACUACUUCCGUCAACGUACCAAUGUAUACUUAGAACGUUCGCUCGACGUAAAUACGAUUCACGAGGAUCGUUUACUUAUUCAACGUUUACGUUGUUCAUCCCUUAAUCUCUCAUUCAACCUUUAUCUAAGGUUUUAAUCACUUUCAUUCAUUGCUCAUUACCUGAACCCCAUGUUCAUUAUUCUUUCUUAAUGUCAAAGCCAUACGGUUUGUUGUAUGCUAAGAUCGAUCACUCAUCGCAACAGCGUUGCAUUCACAACGUCUAAAUGCUCUACAUUCAUCUCUCAUUACCAUGACAUAACAUCGAAAUGUUAUUCAUUACCCUCGUCAAUCAAUGUCUAAGGAAUCACCAUUAUAGCAAUCCCUCACGUUCGUUUAUCGCGACUACGGCCCCCGGAUAUUGGUUCCGUAACCCGCGUCUACAUUCUUUGUCUUUUAAUCUCAUUUAAUCUUUUCGUUCAACCUUCAUCAAAGGUUUAAUACACUUGAUUAAGUGUUACAUUAGUUGAACUAUAUGUUCAUAUUUUUUUUUUGCACAUCCCCCAGUAAUUGAGCAGUAAAAAUCUCAUUUCUGGGCAUUGUCCUGCACCGGCGCUGCGGCGCCGUGUCCUUCCCUUUCCU